UGAGGAAUAUUGGUCAAUGGGCGAGAGCUUGAACCAGCCAAGUAGCGUGCAGGAUGACGGCCCUAUGGGUAGUAAACUGCUUUUACGCGGGGAUAAAGUGCGUGACGUGUCGCGCAUCGCAGGUACCGCGUGAAUAAGGACCGGCUAAUUCCGUGCCAGCAGCCGCGGUAAUACGGAAGGUCCGGGCGUUAUCCGGAUUUAUUGGGUUUAAAGGGAGCGCAGGCCGCCGGAUAAGCGUGUUGUGAAAUGUACCGGCUCAACCGGUGAGUUGCAGCGCGAACUGUCAGGCUUGAGUGCACGGUAAGCAGGCGGAAUUCAUGGUGUAGCGGUGAAAUGCUUAGAUAUCAUGAGGAACUCCGAUUGCGAAGGCAGCUUGCUGCAGUGCGACUGACGCUUAGGCUCGAAGGUGCGGGUAUCAAACAGG
rnacentral:rRNA from 1 species